GACGUAGGGGGCGAAGCGUUACCCGGAACUCACUGGGCGGUAAAGGGGGGCGGUAGGCGGGACGAAUAAGUCAGAUGUUAAAAACGAACGGCUCAACCGUCGGGAUGCGUUUGAAACUGUAGUCCUUGAGGAUAGUAGAGGAAAAGGGAAUUACCAAUGUAGGGGUGAAAUCCGUAGAGAUUGGUAAGAAGACCGGUGGCGAAGGCGCUUUUCUUGGACUAUACCUGACGCUGAGGCCCGAAAGCCAGGGGAGCAAACCGGAUUAGAUACCCCCGUAGU
rnacentral:rRNA from 1 species